GGGGAUGAGUACAGCGGCGAACGGGUGAGUAACACGUGGGCAACCUACCCCUCAGUCAGGAAUAACCCCGCGAAAGCGGGGCUAAUACCAAGAUGAUAUCCCCUGGGGGCAUCCCUGGGGGACCAAAGGGGGCGAGCGCAAGCGGCUCUCGCUGAGGGAUGGGCCUGCGGCUGAUUAGCUAGUUGGUGGGGUAACGGCUCACCAAGGCGACGAUCAGUAGCCGACCUGAGAGGGUGACCGGCCACACUGGGACUGAGACACGGCCCAGACUCCUACGGGAGGCAGCAGUGGGGAAUAUUGCGCAAUGGGCGAAAGCCUGACGCAGCGACGCCGCGUGGAGGAUGAAGGCCUUCGGGUUGUAAACCGCUUUUCCCUGGGAAGAAGAACUGACGG
rnacentral:rRNA from 1 species